UACGUAGGGUGCGAGCGUUGUCCGGAAUUAUUGGGCGUAAAGAGCUCGUAGGCGGUCUGUUGCGUCGGCUGUGAAAACCCGGGGCUCAACUCCGGGCCUGCAGCCGAUACGGGCAGACUAGAGUUCGGCAGGGGAGACUGGAAUUCCUGGUGUAGCGGUGAAAUGCGCAGAUAUCAGGAGGAACACCGGUGGCGAAGGCGGGUCUCUGGGCCGAUACUGACGCUGAGGCACGAAAGCGUGGGGAGCAAACAGG
rnacentral:rRNA from 1 species